rnacentral:misc_RNA from 1 species
GAUGAAGAACGCAGCGAAAUGCGAUACGUAAUGUGAAUUGCAGAAUUCAGUGAAUCAUCGAAUCUUUGAACGCACAUUGCGCCCCUUGGUAUUCCGAGGGGCAUGCCUGUUCGAGCGUCAUAUUAACCACUCCCGCUUGCGGGGUCUUGGGCUUCGCCUCCGGGCGGGCCUUAAAAUCAGUGGCGGUGCCGUCGGGCUCUACGCGUAGUAAAUUUUCUCGCGAUAGGGUCCCGGUGGAUGCUUGCCAACAACCCCCAACUUCUUAAGGUUGACCUCGGAUCAGGUAGGGAUACCCGCUGAACUUAAGCAUAUCAAUAAGCGGAGGA